rnacentral:lncRNA from 1 species
AUUUCAUUCUGCUCAUCCCCAAGGCAAAGUUGGAUGUUUUUAAAGUGGAAAAAAAAAUGAUCGGAAAAGAAACGGGGAAGGUGGGAAGAGGUGGCCGGCGAGGGCGGUACAGGUAGGUGCCGUGAGACCGUCGUCCUUUGCGCAGGCAGGGCGGGGGAGCUCCCCUGAGUCGCGGUGGACGCCUUUCCCCAGGACCCCCGGAUGGAGGUCAGGGUCCUGGCUGUGGCUUUCGAGACGCAGAUGCCUUUGCUCUUGGAAAGAGGUCUGUUUUCUAAAGUGGAUGCCCCGUGCUGUCGCCAAGGAAUCGUUCCCCGGUGAGGUUUCCCUGGAAUGGGGGUGGGGGUGGGGGUGGGGUUGCGUCCUCCGUCGUGUGUUUGCUACUUGGCGGUGGGUUGGUGGGUUGGUGGUCCAGGGAGUAGGGGAGAAUGUGCUUCCAUCUGGAGAGGCAGAAUCCAAACACCCCCCAGGAGGGAAAUUAGGCAUGUGGAAGAUAACAUCCGUGUCAUGUUGGGAUGCCUGUGGCGUGGACUUUUCUGGACAGAAAGGAGAUGCCUGGGGAGACUGAGAGCCUGUCUAGUUCCCGGAGGUGGGGGGCGGAUUUUUGCUUUCGUUCCUGGUCACCGGGGCUGCGAUACCCCUUGGUUUCUCCUUAGCCUGCAGCAAAGUGGCCUCUAAAGCUGGAGGCCGAUGUGUCCUUAUAGCCGCCUGCGUUACCUCUUGAUCAUUCAAGGAAGGUAUUUUGAAGUUCAAGAUGGGUGUGGGCUUUCUACUGUUCUGAAAUCCAACUGCUAUCCCCUCGGACUUCGAUUUUUCCUAUAACAUGUGAACGAUGCACUGAAAUAAUUGACCGAUGGCGCUGCCCAUGUGUAUUUACUAUUUUCUUUGAGAGCAAGAAACUUAAAGCAUCCUAGUCAAUAGACUAUAAAUCUAGGUGGGGAACAUACGACUCAAUUCAAUUAAAAAUAUUUAAAGUGCACGGUCCUGGAGUUCCCGUUGUGGCGCAGUGGUUCCCAAAGUGGGAACUCCUGUACUUUUUUAACCAAAUAUUAAAUUUAAAUUUCUUUUAUUUCCUGUUUGUGCUUUUCAAAUUAGUAUUGUAUUUUGUUAGGGACAAGAUGAAGUGUAGUAAUAGUCCACUGGGUCAUUUGUCCUUUGUUCCUAUGAGCAAUGUAGCCAGAAAUAUUAGAAACAAAUGAAAAUCCCUCAUCGGGUCCUGUGUCGUGGUGCAGUGGUUAACGAAUCCGACUAGGAUCCAUGAGGUUUGGGGUUUGAUCCAUGAGGUUUGGGGUUCGAUCCCUGCCCUUGCUCAGUGGGUUAAGGACCCGGCGUUGCCACGAGCUGUGGUGUAGGUUGCAGAUGCGGCUCAGAUCCCGCGUUGCUGUGGCUCUGGCGUAGGCUGGCAGCUACAGCUCCGAUUCAACCCCUAGCCUGGGAACCUCCAUAUGCCACGGGAGCGGCCCAAGAAAUGGCAAAAAGACCAAAAAUAAAUAAAUAAAAUAAAGUGCACGGUCCUAUCCUGUCCCAUUACGGGAAAUAAAUAAACUUGAUUGGGGAAUUGGGUGGGUUGGAAGGGGAGAAGGAAACCACUUUAGUCUGUCACCCUUGCAGGCCAAGUUCUCAUCCACACAGGAGACAAAUUUGCAGACAUUAGAAAAGUUAGAAAAAGGCAAAAAUAGGAGUUUCUGUCGUGGCGCAGUGGUUAACGAAUCUGACUAGGAAUCAUGAGGUUUCGGGUUCGGUCCCUGGCCUCGAUCAGUGGGUUAAGGAUCCGGUGUUGCCAUGGGCUGUGGUGUAGGUUGCAGACACGGCUCGGAUCCCGAGUUGCUGUGGCUCUGGCGUAGGCCAACAGGCCUGGGAAAGUUUUUUGAUAUUUGUCCUGCAAAACUGUGGCAAAUUAAGCUGCCAUUUCUCUGGAUCCUAGUCCAAGAGAGAGCUCUGUAGCCAACCCCCCACCCCUGCCCCAUGCACAACAGCUUUGAAAAAUGCAGAAAAACUGUAACCAAGAAGUAAUCCUAGCAUCUUGCCCAAUAGGGCAAUACAAAGAUGGGGUUCUUAGCCAGAGGGCUUUCUGGAGUCCCCUUGUCACAGAGGAUAGAUUUCUCUUUGCUGUUUUUGGAUCAAGGUUGAUCGAGUCAUUGGCUUUGUUGGAAAUUUGAUCUUUUUCUGGAAUUUGUCAACAUUAGAAUAAGGGUUGUAACAUGAUUUCCUCUUUGUCUUGAUAUUCUGUCUUUUAUGGAGAUGGCAAGAGUUGAGUGGGUGGGGAAGAGGUGGCAUUCACCCCUAGGCUGCCCCUUUGGAGCCCUAGUUUGGCUUGUGGGCUCAGAGGCAGGGGCGCUGGGAGGCCAGGAUGUUACAAUGGAUGAAAUCAGUGCCUUGGAAUUUCUGAUUAAUAAGGAGGUAAAAGGAAGUUCCCUUCGUGGCUCAGCAGUUAACAAACCCGACUAGCAAGAAAUAGCAACAACAACAACAACAACAAAAGACAAAAGACAAAAAAACAAAAAACAAAAAACAAAAAAAAAAACAAACCUGACUAGGAUCCAUGAGGAUGUAGGUUCCAUUCCUGGCGUCACUCAGUGCAUUGCCCUGAGCUGUGGUGUAUGUUGCAGAUGUGUCUUGGAGCCUGCGUUGCUGUGGCUGUGGCAUAGGCCCGGAGCCAUAGCUUCAAUUCAGCACUAGCCUGGAAACUUCCAAAUGCCAUGGGUGAGACCCUAAAAUGCAAAAAAAAAAAANAAGGAGGUAAUAGAGUAUAUGUUAAUUUCACAAGAAAAAUGUCCACAGGGCACAUAAGUACAAUGGAUAUGUUUGCAUAGUUUGCAUAUGCUGUGCUUCUCAGAACUAUGAGAAUUCGGUUCCAUUUGCACUUACCUUUUAAACAACAGAUCGGUGUUUUUGCUGUGCUGUGGAAUGGGAGGAUAAAUGGGAGUGCUUGCACACACACACCUCCCCCCCAACACACCGACACUAGCAUAUUCAACACACACAUGCAUAUCUUUAGGUGCAAACACAUAAAGCUGAGACUUUUGCCUUUGGGAGGGACAAGGAGCAAAGACCCUUUUCAGAUCUGCCCUCUCACUAUUUUUCCUCAAGAUAACCAUAUGUGCUGGGUUUCACUCCCUCAUGGCUUCUCUGGCGCCUUGCCUGGCACUGUAUUUACUUCACAGCUUGGUCGCCGAAAUCCAGUUUCUUCACCUGGUUUGGAAUCCAUCGAUCCAUCCUGCCCCCUGGCUCCAGUGCCCCCCAUGGGCACAGUUAAUUACAUGGGUCCAGCAUUGAUCUCCCUCCAUGUUUUUCUCUCCACUCUGGGCUCCAUGGCCUUCCUUGACCUCUCUGUCCAUCUGCAAGGUUCUGGCCUGGGAAGAGGGACAGGUGGCCUGAUGGAAUUUGUGCCUCUUGGGUCCUGGGGUCCCUGGGUAUCAGGAGGCAGCAGUGGGAGUGAGCUGGGAGAGACUGAAACCAAGGGUGUGUCAAAUUCCAUAAGCCCCGCCUCUGCCACCUUUGCAAAGCCUGCUUGGGGCUGCUCAAAGCCCGCGCCCCGCCCCCCCCACCACUGCCAACAAGGACCAUUCUGUUACAUUUCUUUAAAGCUGGCCUUCAUGAAUUUCAGACACCAUGCUAAAUCUCUCUCUCUCAUAUUUUAUUUUCAAAGCAAUCCUAUGAUGUUGAUUUUAUCAUCGUUUUUUACAAACUUAGAAAUCAAGGCUUACAGAGAUGAGUUACUUUGCCCAAGGUCACCUGACCUUGAAGCUUGAAUUUGAAUCUGUACCUCUUUCACGGUGAUACCCAGGCUCUUACCUGCUUGCACACCACAUAUCUCAGAAGAGGAGAGGGUAACACAGAGAGGAAGCUGGACUUGUUCCUUUCUAGCUACUUAGAUCAGCCCCACGCUGGACCAGGGAGGUAGCCCUCUGGACAAGACCUUGGAGGAGCCAGCACAGGGAGGUGGAAAAGAACUGGGUGCCGGCUUAGAGGAAUUUGGGGGUGAAGCCUGACUCUGCCAUUAAUUUACUGUGUGACCCCUGGGCAAUCUAUUUAAUUCUCUGAGCCUGUUACAUCACAACGAAGGCAAAUGAAGUAUAGCACUAUUUCAUCAGCUUAAUAGGCGACCACAUCAGAGAACAGUAUCUGUGAAGGGACGUGCUAACAAUAUGUGCUUAUUAUCAUUACCUGAACAAUCCCCUUUCCUUCCAGCUCCCCACAUCUCUAAGCCGAGUUCUUGAUUUUUCUGAUGAGGUCUAGAAUUUUUUUGCCAAAAGCAAGGAACAGUUCUUGGCAGCUUUCUGAGUCUUCGCUUCCUUUCAAUACCAGGCCUAGUGGAGAGCAAAAUUAGCCUGCCAAUCACUCAGAAAAGUGUGGGCCCUAGGAAAUUAAAUUCCCCCUCUCUCCAGCUGUCUCCCCCCCCCACCAGUGCCAGGUACCAAAUGAAUGCGCAGGCCACGUGCUUCCCUUCCUGUCUCUUCUUCCUAUAUGGUAAUUUGACCAUUUUAGUAGGACGAACAAGCCUAGUGGAUGUGAGAGGUGGUUCAUUCUCCCCCAAAGCCAAAGGCUGGAGAGGGUCCUGAGUGGGAAGGUGGGCAUGGCUCUCUUACAUCAUUCUUUGGGAUUUGAUCAUUUUCUUUUUCCAGCAAUGUUUAAAAGCCACCUUUUUACACCUGUCUCCAUCCUUUCAUGGCAGGCUGAAGGAGGAGACAUGAACAAAGGGACUAGGGCCACCCCGCACAACCCUCCCCCCCAGGUGCUUGUGCAGAUGACCGGGUUCUCCUUGGGCUGGUGCCCUUCGAGCAUCAGUUUGGCACUGAGGGCGAGACCCACACAACUGCUCCCUGCAGUCCAUAUAUGGGCACCCCUCAUGCAGUCAGGACACUAUGCUUGAAAUGCUUCCUGUGUUGGCCAGUGGCAUCUUUGUGAUCCCCUCCAGUCCCUCGGGGAGAUUAAGAGAUCUCUGAAGGCUAACAACCAGGACCACUCCUCUCCUACCCAUCCUUUCCAAACUUCAGCUCUGGAGUGAGGUGUCCGAACCCUGACCUUCGCCUAACCAUUCGUAGUCAAAGGCUCUUUUGUACUAUGGGGCAAAAAAUAUUUUAGAUACAGAGUCACUGCCUCGAUGUGAAAGCCAGGCGUAGACCCCACCUGGACACAGAGCUUUCUCUGGAUGAUGUGGUCACUGUUAGAGGGGACAAGUUGGGUCCCCUCCAAAAUUCAUCUGUUCAGGCCCUCCCACCUGAGAAGGUGACUGUCUUUGGAGAGAACACCUUUAAAAGGGUAAUUAAGGUAAACUGAGGUCAUAGGGGUGGGCUGUCGUCCCGUCUGGCUGGAGUUCUUACAAAAAGAGGGGACUAGGACUCAGGCAGACACAGAGGGAACGCCGUGUUAAGACACAGGGGGAAACAUGGCCAUCUCUAAGCCAAGGAGAGAGGCUUUGGAAUGAAACCUGUCCCUAGACACUCGACUUUGGACUUCUCCCCUCCAGAACUAUGAGGUGAUAAAUUUCUGUUGUUUAAGCCACCCAGUCUAUGGUCCUCCAUUGUGGCCCUCCAGACAAACUAGUCACUGCAUGAAUUAAUCAUGCUUCAGCUCAAGGGUCUAGGAAAAACAGCUUCCCACAGGCCACAGAAAAAAGGCAGACUUUCAAGUCAAGUCUCUGCUCUACUAUUUGCCUGACCUUUUGUAAGGUACCAGUUGGAGCCUCACUUUUCUUAUCUGUAUAAUGGGUAUGAUGUAUGUCUCACUGCUGUGUUAAAAAUUCAUGGAGAUAAUGAAUAACAUCUGUUGUAACAUAGGGCUCCACAUCCAGUUUCCUAACCCUUAUUAUCUCUAUUAAUAGUGAUAGGACUGGAGUUCCCGUCGUGGCUCAGUGGUUAACGAAUCUGACUAGGAACCAUGAGGUUGCGGGUUCGAUCCCUGGCCUUGCUCAGUAGGUUAAGGAUCCAGCGUUGCCGUGAGCUGUGGUGUAGGUUGCAGACGAAGCUUGGAUCCUGCGUUGCUGUGUCUCUGGUGUAGGCUGGCGGCCAUGACUCUGAUUAGACCCCUAGCCUGGGAACCUCCAUAUGCCACAAGAGUGGCCCAAGAAAUGGAAAAAAGACAAAAAGAAAAAAAAAAAA